rnacentral:rRNA from 1 species
UACGGAGGGUGCAAGCGUUAUCCGGAUUUACUGGGUUUAAAGGGUGUGUAGGCGGACCUUUAAGUCAGCGGUGAAAUCUCCGGGCUCAACCCGGAAACUGCCAUUGAUACUAUUGGUCUUGAAUGUUGUUGAGGUGGGCGGAACGGGUCAUGUAGCGGUGAAAUGCAUAGAUAUGACCCGGAACACCGAUUGCGAAGGCAGCCCACUAAGCAACGAUUGACGCUGAGGCACGAAAGCGUGGGGAUCAAACAGG